ensembl:lncRNA
UUUUUUUUUCUUUUUUAGAGGUGUCUUGCCUAAAAGCAGCCAGAAGUAACCCUUUGCAUGCCACAGUGCAGUUAGGGCGAGGGCCCACAAUUAAAUAUGAGGCCAAAUAUAUAUAAUAUAUAUAUGUGUGUGUGUGUAUUUCUGUAUGAAUUUCUCUCUGUGUGUGUAUAUGUAGAUAUAAAUAGACACUUAUAUCACAGAAUCACAGACUGAUUUGGGUUGGAAGGGACUUUAAAAUUCAUCUCAAGUUUCCACCUUCCACUGUCCCAGGUUGCUCCAAGCCCUGUCCAGCCUGGCCUUGGACACUUUCAGGGAUGGGGCAGCCACAGCUGCUCUGGGCAACCUGUGCCAGGCCUCCCCCUCCUCACAGAGAAGAUUUUUUCUCCUUAUAGCCAAUUUAAACCUCCUCUCCAUUUGAAGCCAUUUCCCCUUGUCCUGUCACACCAGGCCCUUGGAUAUUGUCUUUCUCCAUGUUCCAUUGCAGGCUCCCUUCAAAGGUACUGGAAGGCCACAAUUAGGUGACUCCAAAGACUUCUCUUUUCCAGGCUGGACAACUCCAAUUCACUCAGCCUUUCCUCAUAGGGGAGCAGCCCUGUAGCAGCCCCGCGGGCUGGAUGGGGGAUGACGGAAGCUUCCCAAUGUGACAGUUCCAGGCUGCCCCUCCUCCAGCCAAGGUCCCCGUGCAGCAGGUACAUCCCUGACAGCUCCUCACAAAGCUCCAUUUGUGCCCUGAUUUCGGAGGCUAUUUCAAAGCCCAGGCUAAGUUACACAAACAUUUGGCUAUAGACAUAACAGGCCUGCUCUGCAGUGCUGUCAGCUCCUUGCCUCCCAGCCUGAGCACUCCCUGCAUGUGUCUGUCAGGCCAUACUUGGGCAGCGCCGCAGCGUGCGCUGCGUCCCAGACACUGUAGUGAUUAUGUCUGGAUGCUCCUUAUCUGAUGGAAAAACUGGCAGUGCUGCACAUCUGUGCUCUGAGGCUCUGCUGCUGCAGUGCCAUGCCAGUAUUUAUUUUGCUUCUACAAGUUAGUUUUCCUUGAGAAGCAGCGGGGGCCUUCUUCAAUGAACUGAAAAAUGUGUAUUGUAUGAAGGUCUGUGGAGGGUGUGCACCAUAGUUCAGUGGGCAAAUGUGAACCCAGGGGAUGACAUUUCAUUUAAACAUUUGGUUUACAUCUUUACAUGCCAAAAAUAUUAAUGUCUUGACUUCAGCAAACCGAAUCCAGCACUUUUUUCUUUUUCCCCUUAAAUGAAGUAAUUAUAACCAAAACACUCUGUGGGUGUUUGUUCUUCCUUCUCAAAGGUGGAGUUUCACACAUGAACAUUUGGUUUCAGGCUGGAAUUGUCAGUAGCUGCUCGCUUGACACUUCCCCGUUAGUUUGUGUUGGAAACCACCAGGAGUUUCUUGCCUUGUGUUUAUUGUGUUACCCUCAGCCCUUUGAUCGGGACAUCUUGGAUAACAGCAAAGUCUAACUCAGCGCCUGUUCGCUAUUUAAAAAAAAGUGAAGAAUAUGAUUUCUAUCAAAGGAUCUACAAAGACAGUUAAUGUAAUUGAGAAGCAGAAGGGCAUUUAUGGAAGUGCAUCUGAAUGUCCUCUUCACAUGUAAUUGCAUCAGGAAUUCUACAUUAACAUGCAAGUACUGUCCAAAGGGAGAAAAAAAAAAAAAGCUUAUUUUUAGGUAGAAGCCCUCAGUGGGCAGUAAAUUACCCAUAAUCUCCCCCAAACUAGCAAUUAGCCCUGUUUGCUGACUACCUGAAUUGUUUCACAGUAGUUCAGCACAGUCUUACCAGUUAUCACCAUACUUAUAAUCAGAGAUUCCGUGAAUGAUUCCCGCAGCUCCACAUACUGCCUGCCUAAGGUCAGCCAUAAUAACGAAUACAUUUUAUUUGCUUCUUUUGGCCCUUUGGAGCUGUUUUCUCGGGCUGCAAUAUGUAAGGAGAGCUGGUGCUGCCCUGCUGCUCAAAUGGCAAGAAUGUGAACAGAGAAAGCAAUUCAGAGGGGUAGGUGUGCUUUGAUAUUAGUUAAUAUUCAUCUGCAUCUGCUUGUGUUAUUUGUUAUUUAUUCCCUUGUAGCAGCCAGUCCUGCUCAGAGAGAGUGAACUUGCUCCCCACUGCUGGUAUUUGCUCUUCAGAUGUUUUGACACUGAAAGACAUUUUUCAACACGAGCCUGCAACUGAUGAGUGGAAAACUGGAAAGUAUGGAAACAAAAACCUAUGGAAUUUUUUUCCUUAAGGCGGUUGAGCAGUUUUCAUAUCCCCAAAUACCCAUGGUUUGCCAAAAUAGUAACUGAGCUUGGAAAACAGUAGCUACGUUGCCAGCUUUAGCAGUAGAAACAAUCAUGGGCCUACACAUGCACACAAAUACAAGCACACACAUCCUAGGAGCAGCAUCAGGCUUAAAGAAAGAAAACCAAGGGGAAAUAGAGCUAAUGAAGUAUUUGAAACAGAAAACAUGAAUGUUUGGACCCUGAGCAUUAAAGGUAUAUUUUUAAGUAUGGUGCACCCUUAUGACUAAUGCUUUAAUUUGCAUAUUAUUUCUCAGGCAAAAUCCAACGAAAUCAACAUAGUGGCACCAUUUAAAGCCCAUUUUCAGUGCUGGUUCUUUGUCACAUUACAGUGACACAGAGCUGUAUUUCUGCCUCUGAUAUGAGGACUAGAUCUGAGGAAUGAAGGAGAUGGAACAGGAAUUCAUGCUGAAGAGGAACAACUAAAGAGUAGUUGUCCUUUGCAAGCACACUCUAGGAAGCAGAAAAUUGAAAGAUUGCCUUUGCCUGGCUCUGUUUAAAAUGUUUCAGCUUCUAGUUUCACAAUCAGGAACAUCAGCUCUCUGAGCAAACUGCCUACAAAGCUACCACGACAAACUUCAGACCAGUUCUUCAAAAGAAGAACUUGUUUUCCAGAAAAAAACCCCAAAACCUUGGGGUUUAACAUUUUCAACCCUUGCCACUCAGGCCUUGACUAAGGAAAGUACAAAUAAAUUGAUCCUGAAUUAAAGUCAUCCUCGUUGUGAGCACAUACCUGGCCAAGGCAGGCAAAAGCAGAUUGAUGACCCAACAAAGUUCACCUUGUUUUCUGAGUUGAAAGCUCACGCUGUUCCCUGGCAGAACAGGCAUGUCAGGCCUGCAAUAACUGCUUGCUACCUUGCUUCAGUCAGCAUUAAACCCAGCACAAUAUUAACAUCUUGGGGGAAAUCCAGCUGGAAAUGGCUUUCUGGGGGGGAAAAAAAGGGAAGUGAGGUGACGGAAUAGCACACCCUCUGUUUGUUUACUUAUUGAUUUCACAGUAAUUUUAAGGAACUUGAAAUUUCUCCCCUCACCUGAAAAUGUUUUAUUUCCGUUGUUUUCUGUUAAAAUGCAGAGCUGAAUUUCUGUCCAGAAAGAAGUGGCAAAGAACAGCCAUGUUUCACUUGAAGGUAAAUAAAUCACCUGGCCUGGCAGAGGUUGGUCUUUCUGUUUGGCUUUACUUUGCAGGAGCUACUUGUGGGCACAUCAUCCUGUGCCCAGUGCAGUGAGUGGCACUCCUGGGACAGACACAUCGCUCUGGUGGCACCUGAUUGGUCAGAGCAUCCCCAAACUGGGAUUCAGAGCAGCCCCACUGAUUUGGAUGUGGGGCAAUUGUGUUUCUGCCUCAGAGGGAUGAGGUUGGUGUACAAGAGCUGAACUUCAAAAAUUUGCUUUUUUAUUUAUAAAAAAAUUUAUAAUUUGCUCUGAUAGUUUUUCUUAUUUUUCUUUCUUGAAGCACUGGUAAAGUUUGAAGAUGAUCCCUCAUGAUGCACAGCACAAGUGCUCUGAAAUGUAUCUCCUCUGGGUGAGUGUACCCUUUACUGACAAUUCACCCUGAAAGCUCACUGGGCACUGAGCACCUCCAAAGUAUUUCUGGAAAGAAAGCAAAUGGUCCAGGCUCUGGACACUGCUCUUAAAUUCCUAAAAUAUUUAUCGCUUAAUCUGAAAAACACUUUGCCAAAAACCUGGGCUAUAGUGAGGGCAUUUGGCACUGGAAUAAUUUCUGAUUAAGUUCAAGGAGCAGGCUGUAGGUUUGUGUUCAGUGAUGCUUCAGUGUAAUGCCCUGGCCAGUGCCAUCCUGGCCCGCAGCUGCUGGGAUCAGGCUCUGCCAAAUUCCUGUCACCUUGGGCUUCAUUAGCAUGUGAGAACAGAGCCCUUCUGGCUUUGUGUCUCGCUAAAAAAACAACAACCCAGCCCUCCCUUUGGCCAGGGCUGCUUCAGGCACUCGACUUUAAAAGGACAGUUUAAAAAAGCAGUUCUUUACGUUCUCUUUUUUUUUUUUUCCUUUCUUUUCUUUUUUUUUUUUUUUUUAACUACCGCUCUUAAAAAGUUACCAGAGUGAAAGUUCCUGUUUACAGUGGUGGGGAGGAGUUCAGGUAACUGCUCAUAGAGGGCCCACGAGCAGUGGCAGAUGCGGGACUCAGCAGAGUGAGUAAAUCUUUUACAGUUGAGCCCUUAACUAAGGAUUCUGCAUUUUGGAAGAAUAAAGUCCUGCACUGCCAUAUGAAAUAUUUCCUGUGCAUUUCAACGAGCCAGGGAUUGCAUCUGCUACCUCCAGCCAUUCUAACAGUGAAUGAACCAGAACACUUAAAAAUAUUUGCAGAGAGAUGUUCUGAACAAAUAACACAACUAACUUAAAUGGAGAAACUUCCCUAAGUCACAUCCAUUCAAUUAGGGAAAAGAACCAGCCCCAUGUAAGCAGUCUGUGAGCACAACACCUCUUGUCUGCUUCAGAAGUACCAUGUCUCAGAGGAAGGAAAAGAUAUCCUCCCUCCACAAAAGACUUUGGGAAUAAUUAUGUGUAAUGGGAAAAAAAAAAAAAAAAAAAAAAAAAAAAAAAAA